GCGCCCCUUGCGGGUUCGCUCACAUGCUUAAGGUCGCACGAAGGUUUCGGCCUUAGUGUGACGGACGGGUGAGUACACGGCGUAGGAAUCUAUCCAUGGGUGGGGGAUAACUCUGGGAAUACUGGAGCUAAUACCGUCAUGAUACCUGAGGGUCAAAGGCGCAAGUCGCACUGUGGAGGAGCCUGCGUUUGAUUAGCUUGUUGGUGGGGUAAUGGCCUACCAAGGCGAUGAUCAAUGUAGCUGGUCUGUAGCCCAGGAUGAUCAGCCACACUGAGGACUUGACGACACGGCCCAGACUCCUACGGGAGGUCAGCAGUGGGGAAUAUUGGACAAUGGGGGCCCAACCCUGAUCGCAGCUAAUGCCGCGUGUGUGAAGAAGGUUUUCGGAUUGUAACCCAGCAUCUUUCGACAGGAGCUGACGAUAGCCAUGACGGUACCCGUAGAAGAAGGUCCCUUGCGGCUAAUGCCCUUCGCUGCACAGCAGCCGCGGUAAUACGAAGGGGUGCUAGCGUUGCUGCGGAAUGACUGGGCGUAAAGGGCGUGCUAGGCGGUUUGUACAGUCAGAUGUGAAAUCCCCGGAGCUUCAACCUGGGAGCUGCAUUUGAUACGUGCAGACUAGAGUGCUGAGAGAGGGUUGUGGAAUUCCACAGUGUAGAGGUGAAAUUACGUAGAUAUUGGGAAGAACACCGGUGGCGAAGGCGGACAACCUGGCUCAUAACUGACGCUGAGUGCGCGAAAGCGCUGGGGAGCAAACAGGAUUAGAUACCCUGGUAGUCCACGCUGUAAACGAUGUGUGCUAGAUGUUGGGUAACUUAGUUAUUCAGUGUCGC
rnacentral:rRNA from 2 species